UACAGAGGGUGCAAGCGUUGUUCGGAAUUACUGGGCGUAAAGGGCGCGUAGGCGGCCCUCUAAGUCAUGCGUGAAAUCCCCGGGCUCAACCCGGGAACUGCGUCUGAUACUGGAGGGCUCGAAUCCGGGAGAGGGAUGUGGAAUUCCAGGUGUAGCGGUGAAAUGCGUAGAUAUCUGGAGGAACACCGGUGGCGAAGGCGGCAUCCUGGACCGGCAUUGACGCUGAGGCGCGAAAGCCAGGGGAGCAAACGGG
rnacentral:rRNA from 1 species